AACCCCGUGGAAGAGCUCAAAUUUGAAAUCUGGCGUGCUCAGUGCGUCCGAGUUGUAAUCUAUAGAGUCGUUUUCCGUGCCGGACUGUGUCCAAGUCCCUUGGAACAGGGUAUCAAAGAGGGUGAUAAUCCCGUACUUGACACAAUGACCGGUGCUCUGUGAUACGUCUUCUACGAGUCGAGUUGUUUGGGAAUGCAGCUCAAAAUGGGUGGUGAGUUCCAUCUAAAGCUAAAUAUUGGCGAGAGACCGAUAGCGAACAAGUACCGUGAGGGAAAGAUGAAAAGCACUUUGGAAAGAGAGUUAAACAGUACGUGAAAUUGUUAAAAGGGAAACGAUUGAAGUCAGUCGUGACUGAGAGGCUCAGCCGGUUCUGCCGGUGUAUUCCCCUCAGUCGGGUCAACAUCAGUUUUGUUCGGUGGAUAAGGGCAGUUGGAAGGUGGCACCCUCGGGUGUGUUAUAGCCAGCUGUCGCAUACAUCGGAUGAGACUGAGGAAUGCAGCUCGCCUUUAUGGCCGGGGUUCGCCCACGUUCGAGCUUAGGAUGUUGACAUAAUGGCUUUAAACGACCCGUCUUGAAACACGGACCCA
rnacentral:rRNA from 1 species